GACGAACGCUGGCGGCGUGCUUAACACAUGCAAGUCGAACGGAAAGGCCCUGCUUUUGUGGGGUGCUCGAGUGGCGAACGGAUGAGUAACAAGUGAGUAACCUGCCCUUGCCUUUGGGAUAACUUCAGGAAACUGGGGCUAAUACCGGCUAGGUGCUCCUGCUGCAUGGUGGGGGUUGGAAAGUUUCGGCGGUUGGGGAUGGACUCGCGGCUUAUCAGCUUGUUGGUGGGGUAGUGGCUUACCAAGGCUUUGACGGGUAGCCGGCCUGAGAGGGUGACCGGCAACAGUGGGACAGAGAUACGGGCCAGACUCCUACGGGAGGCAGCAGUGGGGAAUAAUGCACAAUGGGCGGAAGCCUGAUGCAGCAACGCCGCGUGCGGGAUGACGACCUUCGGGUUGUAAGCCGCUUUCGCCUGUGACGAAGCGUGAGUGACGGUAAUGGGUAAAGAAGCACCGGCUAAGUACGUG
rnacentral:rRNA from 1 species